CUUGACUCCACUUACUUUCAUCCAGUGAGAAGUAGCUCCACUUGUUGACGUAUCCCAAUCCAAGUGAUGAUUUACAGCCUGAAGGUUUUGAAGAUUUAGAGUGAGGUAGUCAAGUUUGUCUUUUCAUCCAAUGCACUUCGGG
rnacentral:lncRNA from 1 species